rnacentral:rRNA from 1 species
GACGAACCGUGCGAACGUUGUUCGGAAUCACUGGGCUUAAAGGGCGCGUAGGCGGGCUUGCAAGUCUGCGGUGAAAGCCUCCAGCUCAACUGGAGAAGUGCCGUGGAUACUGCGGGCCUCGAGGAGGGUAGGGGCAUCUGGAACGUUGGGUGGAGCGGUGAAAUGCGUUGAUAUCCAACGGAACUCCGGUGGCGAAGGCGGAU